rnacentral:tRNA from 1 species
GUAACAUACCCGUGAUUUUGAAAAUCAUAACAGACGGCUACCCCCGUCAUGUUACU